rnacentral:rRNA from 1 species
AUUGAACGCUGGCGGCAUGCCUUACACAUGCAAGUCGAACGGCAGCACGGGAGCAAUCCUGGUGGCGAGUGGCGAACGGGUGAGUAAUAUAUCGGAACGUGCCCAGUCGUGGGGGAUAACGUAGCGAAAGCUACGCUAAUACCGCAUACGAUCUAUGGAUGAAAGCGGGGGAUCGCAAGACCUCGCGCGAUUGGAGCGGCCGAUAUCAGAUUAGGUAGUUGGUGAGGUAAAGGCUCACCAAGCCGACGAUCUGUAGCUGGUCUGAGAGGACGACCAGCCACACUGGGACUGAGACACGGCCCAGACUCCUACGGGAGGCAGCAGUGGGGAAUUUUGGACAAUGGGCGCAAGCCCUGAUCCAGCAAUGCCGCGUGCAGGAUGAAGGCCUUCGGGUUGUAAACUGCUUUUGUACGGAACGAAACGGUGAGCUCUAAUACAGUUUGCUAAUGACGGUACCGUAAGAAUAAGCACCGGCUAACUACGUG